rnacentral:rRNA from 1 species
UCGGAAUGAAUUUGAUUAAGUUUAGUGGCGGACGGGUGAGUAACGCGUGAGUAACCUGCCUCUAAGAGGGGAAUAACAUUCUGAAAAGAAUGCUAAUACCGCAUAAUAUAUAUUUAUCGCAUGGUAGAUAUAUCAAAGAUUUAUCGCUUAGAGAUGGACUCGCGUCCGAUUAGUUAGUUGGUGAGGUAACGGCUCACCAAGACCGCGAUCGGUAGCCGGACUGAGAGGUUGAACGGCCACAUUGGGACUGAGACACGGCCCAGACUCCUACGGGAGGCAGCAGUGGGGGAUAUUGCGCAAUGGGGGAAACCCUGACGCAGCAACGCCGCGUGAAGGAUGAAGGUCUUCGGAUUGUAAACUUCUUUUAUUAAGGACGAAGAAAGUGACGGUACUUAAUGAAUAAGCUCCGGCUAACUACGUGCCAGCAGCCGCGGUAAUACGUAGGGAGCAAGCGUUGUCCGGAUUUACUGGGUGUAAAGGGUGCGUAGGCGGCUUUGCAAGUCAGAUGUGAAAUCUAUGGGCUCAACCCAUAGCCUGCAUUUGAAACUGCAGAGCUUGAGUGAAGUAGAGGCAGGCGGAAUUCCCCGUGUAGCGGUGAAAUGCGUAGAGAUGGGGAGGAACACCAGUGGCG